UGAAAACAAUGAAGGAAGCGGAGUAGCAAACCUCACGGGUCUACGAACAGAAAAUUGAUAUAAGGAUAAAUGGUGGAUAAGGUUGCAUAACAAACCAAAGUCCAAAAGGUAAACGUAAAACCAAAGCAGUAAAUCAAGAGGUUGGGGAGGGAAA
rnacentral:ncRNA from 1 species